UCAGGCUGGCAAUGAGGAGCGAACAAAUACCGCGCUACUCAGCAUCUUCCCCCCUGAGCUGCCAGAGAAUUUCAAACCACUUCAAAUGCUGGAGCCAAAGGAUCUGCUGAGAAAGAAUAAGUGAGACUGCAGCUUUUGGAAGACAUUUGAUUUUGAUGUGAAAUGCCACAAGCUGAACAAAUGCUCCAGAGCAGAAAAAUAAAAUGGAUUAACAAAUGGAACGAAUCUUUCGCACUUCUGACACAGGUUAAUUUUGUUUCUUGUUCUUCACUGGCUUACUGCUGUCUACUUAAAAGUAUGGCGUCUACCUACUGGUCUUUGUGAGUGUCAUGGCAACUAGAAUUAUUGAAUCCAUUUAGAAUAUCAUGGAAUCAUAGAAAUUAGAAAUGGGGAAAAUGCCU